rnacentral:rRNA from 1 species
CGUACACUCCUGCGGGAGGCAGCAGUGGGGAAUAUUGCACAAUGGGCGCAAGCCUGAUGCAGCGACGCCGCGUGGGGGAUGAAGGCCUUCGGGUUGUAAACUCCUUUCGCUAGGGACGAAGCUUUUUUGUGACGGUACCUAGAUAAGAAGCACCGGCUAACUACGUGCCAGCAGCCGCGGUAAUACGUAGGGUGCGAGCGUUGUCCGGAAUUACUGGGCGUCAAGGGCUCGUAGGUGGUUUGUCGCGUCGUCUGUGAAAUUCUGGGGCUUAACUCCGGGCGUGCAGGCUAUACGGGCAUAACUUGAGUGCUGUAGGGGUAACUGGAAUUCCUGGUGUAGCGGUGAAAUGCGCAGAUAUCAGGAGGAACACCGAUGGCGAAGGCAGGUUACUGGGCAGUUACUGACGCUGAGGAGCGAAAGCAUGGGUAGCGAACAGGAUUAGAAACCCUAGUAGUCCCAUGA